CAUUCCUUAUGUUUGUAUAGCCCUGUAAGCAGUUUAUUAUGUUGUAACUUGGAUGGAAUGGAUUCGAGAUUAGUUCCGGAAAUGCCUUAAAACUGUAUUUCCGGCUUUCACAUUCAAUAAACAGACUAGCGUGGACACCUACCGCAAUGGUUUGGUAAUAUGCUAACGCUUUCCAUAAGCUCUUGUAAAAGUUUUGUAAGUACUGGUGUUACAAGGAGAUUUUGUUUACAAUUUUAUUGACCUGCAUGUACAUACGUAAGAAUUACAACAGAAGUUUUUGUAUCCUCCCAGUCGGUUUUAUUGAAAAGGAUUAACGGUAUUUUAAAAAAUAAAUUUUACAAAAAGAUUAACAAUCUAUAACAAAUGAAUCGUGGCAAAUGAAUUUGAAUUAGAAUCUUAUUAUAGACAAAACUUACUUUCGGUUGUGCAGUAAAAUGGAUAAUGUGGUGUCCAUUACGUAACGGAGUAAUCUGCAAACAGCUGUUGGAAUUUCGGCCGGCGUCGCAAAAGCAACAAUUUUCAACCGCGAAAAGCUUUUGGCCUCUUGAGCCAAAAUUACAUACAGGUUGCAGGCUUGGAAAAAUAUCUCAAUCUGGACUCACCUACUCACUCUCACUCUCUCCCUCUCCCUCUUCACGCUUUCCUUUAUUCACUCACUCUCCCACGCGAUUUUUGGAGCAGAAACGACGGCGGAGGAAAUGCAGCGCAGUCGACGCCAAAAGGGAUAUUUUAUGUUAUAUAUUAAGCGUGUCCUUAAAUAUGAAUUUCCCAAUCCUAUUCUUAUUCAAAUUAUAAAAUGUAUUUUUAGUUUUAAGCUUAAAAUAUUGUUAAGUCGGUCUCGGCUUCAUAUUAAGUAUAUAAGUAUGUUAUUCAUAUAAUUUUUGUACUAGGAGUGUCCCAUGAUAGAGUAUUAAAAUAAAUGCAUUUCGUAAAUAGCUGAUCUUAUGCACAUUCAAA